CUCUUCCUGUGCCAGUACCAUACUGCUUAUAGCACUUUACUGUACCUUUAUUAUAGCACCAAAUGCAAAUCUAUCAACACACUGACUCCUCCAAAUGAACUUUAGAAUCAUUUUGUGAAGUUUCAAAAAAAAAAAAAAUACUGUCCCAGAGACAGUAAUGGCUGAGGAAAAACAAAAACAAAAAACUGCCUCUUAUGGAAAUUGCAGUGAAUUUAUGCUUAUUUGGGGAAACUGAC
rnacentral:lncRNA from 1 species